AUAAACCCUCUCUCCCUUUCCCCCUCUCUGACCCCAAAUUCUCUCCCUCUCUCUCCAACCCCCACCCCCCAUCGUUGAAAACCUAAUGUCCCCUCUACUUUCAAUUUCAUAAUCGGCAUUUCCACGUCUGUCCUACCAUCGACAACGGCCUCCCUCUGCGUGUCUCUCUCACCAUCGCCGUCUCCCUCUCACGGUCUCACCAGUCACCACCGCUGCCUCCCUCUCACAUCUGCUGUCUGUAUCAAGUUGUGGAGAUGUCAAACCUUAUUAGAAGUCGUAAGGCGGUGACGAUUGCACAGAGUUCACCGCCUCAGUCGGUAGCUGUCACUGCUCCAGCAUAGAUGGACCACUUGCCAGUUGGUUCUAGGGUCUCCCAUGUGCUGGCGUCAUCAAUGGCGCAACCUAUUAGCACACCGCCCCCCAGCACUGACUGACACAACAUUGACAUCCGCUACUGGUGCAUUGGGGUCACAACCAGCCAAGAAGAACACCCGGGGACCUUGUUGCCAGUUGAAGACGGUGAAGGUCACCUGGGUGACCAAUAGUUGUAUCAACAUUGUAUACGACGAGCAGCAUCGGGCUGUACCAACAGCGGACCAGCAUCGCUCAUUGGCCCACGACAUUGGUCACAUUGUUCGGACCUAUUGCCCAAUGAAAUGGAAGUCUUGGAAGGUCAUGCCUUACGAGAUGAGGAAAGAGGUGCGCGGAUAGUUGUCGAGAACUACAAUUUAGAGGACCUCGACGACGAGUCGUUGGCGUACGUCAACAGACUCUUUGUUGAGAGGUACAAGUAGUGGAAGUGCGACUUGCACCACCAUUUUCAGGCAUUUGAUGAUCCGCAGGUCGCUCUUUAGGAGGGUAGCCUGAAGGAGCUUGAGAGGCAGAAGGAUGGUUAGGCGUGGCUCUGCGGUCAUUUUCAGGAGCCCGAUUUUGUGGCAUUUUUUUAUAUUAAGUUGAAAAUUAUUACACAUUUCUUACUAAUGUUUAUUUAAUUUUUUAUAUUUCAUUUCAAUUUCAAUUAAUAUGUUUAUUUUUUGUAUAACAGAAGAAGACGAAAGCAAAUAAGGGCAAUAGGGACAAGAAGACUCUUCUCCACCAUUUAGGUUCCAAGCCCUUCUCAUAUAGGAUGGAUGCGCGGCGAUGGGUAAUAAUAAAGUCGUUUAUAAUGCUCCUCAAAGCCUAUUGUUAUGCGUUCGGAAAGCAAGUGAAUUUCUCCAAAUCCACCCUCUUUUUUAGUCCCCAUGCUCCUGUGCAAUUGCGUGAGAACUUGUGUAAUAUCUUUGGUAUGUCUGAGGUUGAGGAUCCUGGAAAUUACCUUGGCUUGCCAACCAUUUGGGGGAGAGCCAAGAAAAUGCAUUAUCCUACAUAAAAGAUCUGAUUCUUGCCAAAGUUGAUGGGUGGAAGCAACAACUCCUCUCACUAGCGAGUCGAGAAGUCUUAUUAAAAGUUGUGGCACAGGUUGUCCCUGCAUAUCCGAUGAAUAUUUUCUUGUUCCCUCUCACUUUCUGCAAGGAGAUUGAUUCAAUUCUUGCAAGAUUUUGGUGGGGUCAAACUGGUGAUAGACGACGGGUUCACUGGAUGAGUUGGGAAUCUCUUGGUAAGUCGAGAAGGGACGAUGGCUUGGGUUUCAGAAAUAUUCAUGAAUUCAACCUAGCCUUUAGAGCAAAACAAUGUUGGAGAUUAGUGCAUGAUCCUGAUUCUUUGUGGGCUCAAACUCUUAAAGCUUGAUAUUUUUCUAAUACUACUUUUCUUGAAGCUACAAAAGGGGGAUGUGCCUCUUGGGCUUGGGCAAGCUUAUUGCAAGGGAGAGAUUUGAUAAAGAACGAGGCUCUCUGGCAGGUUUUGAAUGGCAGUUCUAUUAAGAUUUGGGAAGAUAGAUGGAUUCCAUCUACUCUUAACAUGCGUCUCACUUCAGGAACUAAUACUCUGGUGGAUGCUAAUCAUCGGGUACAACAUAUCAUUAACUCCCAAGCAAAUAAAUGGGACCUGGGACGGCUAUCGAAUCUCACCCGCCAUCACCAAUGGUGGUAAUCUGUGAAUCUCAUGCUGCUUGUAGGAGCUACCUUAAGGCUCAAGCCUCAAAGAAUGCAACUCACAGACCCCUUGUACUUGUGGCCCAAACUCACCAAUUUUGGUCCCCUCUAGCUAAUGGUGUUGUAAAAAUUAAUGUGGAUGCUUCUUGGAAACUUGAGCACCAUAAGGCAGGUAUUGAAGUGAUAUUACGUGAUUCUAGUGGAGUUUUUGCUGCUGGCCUUGCUUGCUCUGUUGAAGAGAACUCUACCAUCGAAGCUGAGACUCUGGCUAUUUUGGAAGGAUGUAACUUUGCUAUCCAACAAGGGCACACCAGAGUAGUCAUUGAAUCUGAUUCCAAAGAGGCCAUAUCUUGCCUUAAUCGUUCAAUCCCUCAAGGUAGGUGGCAGCUCUAUCCAAUUAUAUGUAGUAUCAGAAACUCUUGCUCUACCUUUCGGGAUUGUAACUAGUCAUGGGUCCCUAGGACCGCAAACUUGGCAGCUGAUCACUUAGCCAAGUUAGCUAUGUCGAGGACGAGCCUCUCUAUUUAGGUCAACCGAACCCCAUCCUCUUUGAUUGGAAUCUUGGACAAAGAUGGUCUUCCUUGGCCCCCAAUUCGCAGCACUUGAGGAAUGCCAGAUCAGAUUUCGACAUCCUUUGCCCAUCCAUGGCACCGUCUGUUUCUUUUCUUUAUCUGGUAUUUCUACUUUAACUUGUAUCUUGUUUGGUCUUUGGCUGUGAUGUAUGCGUGCUUGUAGUCCCCUCCUAAUUGGACUCCUGCUUCUGUAAUUUGCUUGCGCUAUUUGUGCCCUGGUAUUGAUUUCCAGGUUCCACCAAAAAAAUAUAUAUAUAUCUCAUUACUUUUCCAAUUUAA